rnacentral:rRNA from 1 species
GGCCAGACUCCUACGGGAGGCAGCAGUGGGGAAUAUUGCACAAUGGGGGAAACCCUGAUGCAGCGACGCCGCGUGAGUGAAGAAGUAAUUCGUUAUGUAAAGCUCUAUCAGCAGGGAAGAAAAUGACGGUACCUGAGUAAGAAGCCCCGGCUAACUACGUGCCAGCAGCCGCGGUAAUACGUAGGGGGCGAGCGUUAUCCGGAUUCACUGGGCGUAAAGGGAGCGCAGGCGGCACGGCAAGUCCGGUGUGAAAGCCCGGGGCCCAACCCCGGGACUGCACUGGAAACUGCCGGGCUGGAGUGUCGGAGGGGCAGGCGGAAUUCCUAGUGUAGCGGUGAAAUGCGUAGAUAUUAGGAGGAACACCGGUGGCGAAGGCGGCCUGCUGGACGACGACUGACGCUGAGGCUCGAAAGCGUGGGGAGCAAACAGGAUUAGAUACCCCAGUA